rnacentral:lncRNA from 1 species
AUACAUAUUUUUGAAUACAAAUUAAUUAUUUUUUUUGUCAAUCUUUGUUUUUAUUGAGGCAUAUGAUGAGACAUUACAGUAAAUAAAGCAAGGAGUUAAUGCAUGAAAAAUUAAACAUAUGUUGAGCAUAACAGAAAGCAACAAUAUUGCAUGAACUUCCAGUUAGAACGGCCUCUUUUUUGUUUUUCUGUAUGUAUGUAGGCACAUUUUUAUAUUAGUUAGCGCUUGAGAUUAAUGAGAAAAUGCACAUGUUGUGUCUCUCACCAGAUAUACCCAACAGAACAACCAUGCUAUUUACAUUAUGGCACAAGCUGGGUUAGUAUAACUAAUGCGAGGAGUCACAUUGAAAUCGACAGGCUUGUAAGAUUAUGUAAGAAUGCGUAUGCUGUGCCCCGCACCAGAAAUACCUAAUAAAAUAGACGUGUUAUUUACAGUAUGUUGUAAGCUGGGUCUGCAUCACUAAUGUGAGGAGUAACUGUGGGGUCGACAGGCUUGUAAAAUGAUGUGAUCAUGCGUGUGUUGUGCUGUGCAUCAGAGAUGCAUACUAAAAGAAGCAUGCUAUUGACGACAUGGUGCAACGUGGAUUAAUACAAUUUAUGUGAGUAGGCACGCUUUACCCAGGUGAAUACAGGCCCUGCCCGCCGAGCCUAGAGGUUUUCGUGGCUAGCAUAUUAGGUAAUCAAAAUAAGGCAACAUACAAGAGUGUUUCAGCUGGCAGCUUUUAGGAUUUUUGGGACAAGUCCUAGUUAUGCGCCAUAAAGUUCGCAAGGCAAUAGCUAGUAUGUCCGUUAUUAUCCCUUAAUGUACUCAUCGCACUCCGCAGUGUAUGUUGUUGUGCCUCGGGGUGGAUGCUGCUUGGUUCUUUGCCGGGUUACAGAUUCGCACCAGUUCACCGAGGUAGCUGAGUCUUCCUAAUGUCGUGGUGACACUGCGUCCGUGGGCCGCCUGUCUUCGGCCUGAGGCCUUAGUCGGUGCCCGUUCGCGAUUGAUCACGUCAACAGGAUCGUGGUCCCUGGGUUCCGCCGGAGUGGUCCCUGGGGGUAUGGCAGGCUGUGGAGGAGUUCCUCCUGGUGAGCACCCAGCUCAGAUGAAGGGCGAGCGGUCUCAUCAGCAGCGUUAUCCACAUGGGUGGAGGGUUACUAGCGCCAUGCGCCCGAUGUGUCCCCGGACUUGGGAGCUACUCUAUGGUAAGGGUCGUUUGGUGUUUGUUGCUCUGUGUGUCGGGCCAGAUGGUGUCUGUAGUCUGCUUUGGGCUCUGUGGUUCGGUUCCCGCGCACCUGGCCACCGCCAUCUUAGCCUUGGGCAUGCAUGGUGGCUUGGUAGUGCCUCCGAGUGUGGCUUUGGGGCAAGAACCGGGAUCACCCCCCCCCCGGUCCACAGGGGGGGGAAAAUCAGGACCGGGUCUGCCGAUGUUCCAUGCGCUUGUCGGGCUCCGUUGGGCAGGAUAUUGGAGCGGCGGCCGUCCACUCCACUCACCGCCAGGCAGUAUCCGAGGGACUAGAACUCCAGGAGCAAGCCUCUCCUCAGCUCCAGUAGCCCGUAUAUAUCGAGGGUCAUGGUUGUUGGUAACUUAUUUCCACCAAAAUCAUGAUUUAUAAGCUUAAUGGGUCAUGUUUUGCAGGAGCUGAUC